rnacentral:lncRNA from 1 species
CUUAACCCUGCAUUCCUCCUCCUCAUGCCUAGCUGACCUUCACCUAGACCUGCUGUCCAGUGCUUUUCAGCCACACUUAUCUGAUAGCAUGAACUGGCUGGAGGACAGCCUCUUCGUCCCUCAUUGAUUCUCAUCCCAAUAUGGUAGCACCAGAGUCUUCAACCUCAGAUCAAAGAGACAACCUGAUGACUUUUCAUUUCAGUGAAAGCCACAUCACAAAUUUCUGGAUAAUUUAAUUUUUCUAGUGGCCUGCCAUUUG